GGGGCAUCGAGGGGGACUUCCUUCCUGUUCCCAACCCACCUCCCUGGGGCGCGCAGUUGGCGGAUGUACAUUCAUUCGAGGGACCCAGGCCAGGCGAGAGGGCGGCCAAGGUCUUACAGUCCGUCAGGAGUUUGCCCACGGAGGGGUGGAGGGAGAGUCCCCCUCCAAGUCUUUUCUCAGUAGAUUUGGCUAAGGAAGGAGUAGGUGAGGAGGGUCGAGGCCAAUUAUCAAAAAAUAGCCCUAGGGGCCGGGCGCUUCCGCCUGUAAUCUCAGUACUCUGGGAGGCCGAGGCUGGAGGAUCAAGACCAGCCUGGGCAAAAUGGCGAAAUCCCUCUCUACAAAAAAUACAAACAUUAGCCAGGGUGGUGGCGGGCGUCUGUAGUCCCAGCUACUCGGGAGGCUAAGGCAAGAGGAUCACUUGAGCCCGGGAGGCACAGGCUGCAGUGAGCUGAGAUCGCGCCACUGCACUCCAGCCUGAGCGACAGAGCAAGAGCUGUCAAAAAAAAAAAAGUAAAAAUUUUAAAAAGAAAAGGAGAGGAAAACAGAGCCCUGCUCCCUUAUCCUGCACCUAAAAUGGUCCUGCCCCCAAGAACCCCCUUAACAACCGCUGUAUCCCCCCAUCCCCGCGCC
rnacentral:lncRNA from 1 species